UUAUCUCGUAAACGAUCCGUGGAACCUUACAAGUGCCAAGGCUAAGCGCACUGACUUCGCUCUCGCUGCCUGAGCAGUGAACGAAGGGUCGGCCCGGGAGCGCCUCCGUCCCGGUCGCCGGCCUCAUCAAGGAGGCUCACCGCCACGACUCGGCCGCGGGGUCGUGGCGGGACAUCAACAGCGGCUGAGCCUGUCGGCGACGUGUCCGUACGAGCGCCGGGGCUGAGAAAACGACACUGCGGACUGCGCCCGGAGAAUGCCUGAGUCGACGUCGGAGGACGCGGGUUCGAUUCCCGCCAGCUCCACCA
rnacentral:tmRNA from 1 species